UCUCUGCUGGCUUAGAUGGUGAGGGGUCUGCCUGCAAUGCAGAAGGCCCGAGUUCAAUCCCUGGGUCGGGAA
rnacentral:tRNA from 1 species